rnacentral:rRNA from 1 species
UUUAUCGGAGAGUUUGAUCCUGGCUCAGGAUGAACGCUGGCGGCGUGCCUAAUACAUGCAAGUCGAGCGAAUGGAUUGAGAGCUUGCUCUCAAGAAGUUAGCGGCGGACGGGUGAGUAACACGUGGGUAACCUGCCCAUAAGACUGGGAUAACUCCGGGAAACCGGGGCUAAUACCGGAUAACAUUUUGAACUGCAUGGUUCGAAAUUGAAAGGCGGCUUCGGCUGUCACUUAUGGAUGGGCCCGCGUCGCAUUAGCUAGUUGGUGAGGUAACGGCUCACCAAGGCAACGAUGCGUAGCCGACCUGAGAGGGUGAUCGGCCACACUGGGACUGAGACACGGCCCAGACUCCUACGGGAGGCAGCAGUAGGGAAUCUUCCGCAAUGGACGAAAGUCUGACGGAGCAACGCCGCGUGAGUGAUGAAGGCUUUCGGGUCGUAAAACUCUGUUGUUAGGGAAGAACAAGUGCUAGUUGAAUAAGCUGGCACCUUGACGGUACCUAACCAGAAAGCCACGGCUAACUACGUGCCAGCAGCCGCGGUAAUACGUAGGUGGCAAGCGUUAUCCGGAAUUAUUGGGCGUAAAGCG